CCUACGGGUGGCAGCAGUGAGGAAUAUUGGUCAAUGGACGAAAGGCUGAACCAGCCAAGCCGCGUGAGGGAGGACGGCGCUGUGCGUUGUAGACUUCUUUUAUAUGGGAAUAAAAUGUUGCACGUGUCGGGUCUUGUAUGUACCAUAUGAAAAAGGAUCGGCUAACUCCGUGCCAGCAGCCGCGGUAAUACGGAGGAUCCGAGCGUUAUCCGGAUUUAUUGGGUUUAAAGGGAGCGAAGGUGGGUGGUUAAGUCAGUUGUGAAAGUGUGCGGGUCAACCGUAGAAGUGCAGUUGAAACUGGGGGACUUGAGUGCGGUAGAGGAGUGCGGAAUGCGUGGUGUAGCGGUGAAAUGCUUAGAUAUCACGAAGAACCCCGAUUGCGAAGGCAGUGUGCUGGGCUGCAACUGACACUGAGGCUCGAAAGCGUGGGUAUCGAACAGGAUUAGAUACCCUAGUAGUC
rnacentral:rRNA from 1 species